AGGAGGAACAGCCCCAGUGACGGGGCCAGCUCUGGAAACCUGGAUUCAGCUCCGGCAGGAACUCCGUCUGCAGGGCCUGGAGGCUCCGGGGCAGG
rnacentral:pre_miRNA from 1 species